UUGGGAUAGAAUGUACAGCUAAUUUGUAAAAGUAUGGUUGAAGAAUAGUAUUGUUAUGUGUUAGAUAGCUUAUGAUUUGUGUUUAAGUAAAGGUUACUCGACCUUGGGGAAUAGUGUGUAAUGUAAUGUAUAAACAAUUUAUGUUUAUAUCUUCCGCAAAUAGUUGUAGAAAUAGCGAACCGGAUCCGCGGCGAUUCGGGACCCGGAUUCGGGGCUGCCACAGUCUCCAUCUAUCAAUACUCCUGCUAGCAUAUACCCGGAAGAUAAUACUGCGAUAUGCAAUGGCUUGCAAUGACUGGUCCCUUCGGGAGGUAUAUCGUCAUCAGUGAAGGAUAUCACAUUGUUGUUGAAAAUGUGAUCAACC
rnacentral:lncRNA from 1 species